rnacentral:rRNA from 1 species
GGCUCAGGACGAACGCUGGCGGCAUGCCUAACACAUGCAAGUCGAACGGGGGUAGCAAUACCCUAGUGGCGAACGGGUGAGUAACACAUAAGCAAUCUGCCCUUCACAGGGGGAUAACAGCGGGAAACUGCUGCUAAUACCGCAUAAGACCACAGUACCGCAUGGUACAGGGGUAAAAACGAAUCAGUGGUGAAGGAUGAGCUUAUGUCCCAUUAGCUAGUUGGUGAGAUAACAGCCCACCAAGGCGACGAUGGGUAGCCGACCUGAGAGGGUGAUCGGCCACACUGGAACUGAGACACGGUCCAGACUCCUACGGGAGGCAGCAGUGGGGAAUAUUGGGCAAUGGAGGAAACUCCUUACCCAGCAAUGCCGCGUGAGUGAAGAAGGUCUUCGGAUUGUAAACUUCUGUCCUUGGUGAAGAGAAGAAGACGGUAGCCAAGGAGGAAGCCCCGGCUAACUACGUGCCAGCCGCAGC